rnacentral:rRNA from 1 species
AUUGAACGCUGGCGGCAUGCUUUCCACAUGCAAGUCGACCGGCCGCGCGGGCUUCGCACUGUCGCCGAGUGGCGAACGGGUGAGUAAUGCAUCGGAACGUGCGCCGUAGUGGGGGCAAGCCCGACGAAAGACAGACUAAUCUCCCAAACCACCCUUCGGAGAAUGCGGUGGACCGAAAGCAAUCGCGCCAUUCGAGCGGCCGCUGUCGGUAUAGCUAAUUGGUGGGGUAAAGGCUUACAAAGGCGACGACCCGUAGCUGGUGUGAGAGGACGACCAGCCAGACUGGGACUGAGACACGGCCCAGACUCCUACGGAAGGCAGCAGUGGGGAAUUUUGCACAAUGGGGGCAAUCCUGAUCCAGCCAUGCCGCGUGCGGGAAGAAGACCUUCGGGUUGUAAACCGCUUUUGUUCGGGAAGAAAUCCUCUGAGCUAAUACCCAGGGGGGAUGACGGUACCGGAAGAAUAAGCACCGGCUAACUACGAG